rnacentral:rRNA from 1 species
CAGUCGCCGCGGGAAUACGAAGGGUGCAAGCGUUACUCGGAAUUACUGGGCGUAAGGCGUGCGUAGGUGGUGGUUUAAGUCCGUUGUGAAAGCCCUGGGCUCAACCUGGGAAUUGCAGUGGAUGCUGGGUCACUAGAGUGUGGUAGAGGAUAGUGGAAUUUCCGGUGUAGCAGUGAAAUGCGUAGAGAUCGGAAGGAACAUCUGUGGCGAAGGCGACUAUCUGGGCCAACACUAACACUGAGGCACGAAAGCGUGGGGAGCAAACAGGAUUAGAUACCCCCGUAGUCCCUGUCUCUUAUAC